rnacentral:tRNA from 1 species
GUUAAGGUGGCAGAGCCCGGUAAAUGCAAGAAACCUAAACUUUCUAAACGGAGGUUCAAAUCCUCCCCCCAACU